rnacentral:lncRNA from 10 species
GUGAAGACUGAUGGACAUGACCAUGAGCCCCCUGAGGCCCUAGAACUAUCAUUUUUUGUCAUGAGCUAAAGGCCCACAAAGAUUAGUAUGUUAAAGUGGGUAAUGAUGAAAAUGAGCACCAGUUAUCUUUAAGAAUAGUCAGUUGAGGGACUGGUGCAAAGGAUGAAUUGUACAUUGUUGAAGCAGAGGCAACAAAUGAUGAAGGCAGGUUAAUUAAAAUAACACAGCCAACUUUGAAAAUAUCUUCACAGCCAAUGGGUUCCUUAAGGGCUUUAAAAUAACACUUGUGGUCUUCUGGUUGAAGUGUAGUUCAGGGCCAGUGCAUAUUAGUGGACAGCGCUUAGUAACUAUGGAGGAAGAUGCAGAGUCAGAAGAUGAAGAGGAGAAGGAUAUGCAACUUUUAAGUAUAUCUAGAAGGCAGUCCACCUGUGGAGGUGAUAAAAGGUUCCACAGAGAAAAGUAGAACUUGCUGCUGAUGAAGAUGAUGAUAAUGAUUUUGAUAAUGAGGAAACUGAAGAAAAAGCUCUAGUGAAUAAAUCUGUAUGAGAUACUUCUGCCAAAAAUCAAACCAGAAUAGAAAAAGACUAAAAAUCAUUAACAAGAAGAUCUAAAGGUGAAGAAUUAUUCAAAAAAAACAGGAAAAAAACCCUGAAAACACCAAAAGGACCUAGUUCUGUAGAAGAUAUCAAAGCCAAAAUGCAGGCAAGUAUAGGAAAAGGUGGUUCUCUUCCCAAAGUGGGAGCCCAGUUCAUCAGUUAUGUAAAUAAUUGCUUCUGGAUGAAUAAACAGGAGGCUAUUCAAGAUCUCUGGCAGUGGAGAAAGUCUCCUUAA